CUCCAGAUGUUGCUGAACUACAACUCCCAUGAUUCUAUGAUUGAAGGCUGAGAAUCAUGGGAUUUGUAGUUCAGCAACAUCUGGAG
rnacentral:miRNA from 1 species